UCUCAUUGCUAUUUCUAAGGAGCACACAGAUAGAUGUGUUCCACUACAAAAGGAAGGGACCUCGGGAUCUUCUCAUCAGAGGGGGCAGUUUGGCUUAUGACCCUAGCACUUUGACCUCACUUCCUUGGUAACAAGUAGAAACAGAACUCGGAACCCUGGAGUCAAUGGGCACCACAGUCCAGCGACAGCUGCCUAACACUCACUUGGCUGGAGAGAGUCAGCAGUGAUCAUGCUGUGCUGCUUUCCCAGGCCUUGAGACUGCAGCAACAGGACCCCACACAGGGAAAGCACUUGGGCAUGAGUGAGAGGAUGGAUGGCUAAGUCCCCAUGCUUCAGGCCACUCACCAGGAACUGCCUGGCCUUCAGGAGCAGCACAGGGCAGGUCUCACCAGACCCAGAGACCUGGGGACCUGAGAUGAGCGGGAGCCCAGGGAAGAUCUCCCUGGACCUGGACUCCGGACACUCAGGGCCACCGAGUCCAGGACAGGUCCAGUUAGGCCCAGCCACCAUUGUCCUCCACUUCUUGGUGGAGCUACACUUCCAGGAGAAUCCACCAGCUGAACUCCUCGCCCAACUGGAGCAAGCUGAGCCCACUGAGGCACAGCCCACGGGACCAGGUCCAGCCCCAGCUGAAGUCCCAUGUGUGGAGCCCGAGCCAGCUCCACCUGCAGCUUCCUGCCCAGUGCUGGGACCACAGCCAGAGUCUGUGGAAGCCCCUUCACCUGCUGCAGUGCUGGGGCACCCGGUGGUUGCACGGUGGUCGAUGUCACCUCCUGAGCUCUGCCUGGGGCCAGGUCCUGGCCCCUUCCCACUGUUCCCCUCACUCAUGCUGGCUCUUGUUUUGGUAUUUACACUUGCCCUUAUUCCUUGGAUUUAUAUAAAUAAUAGAACUAGCUUUUAAUAAAACUUAAACUUUUAGUGUUUAAAAGGGUCAGCGUGGUGGCCUGAAGUGCCUUCUCCCGUGUGCGCCCAUCUGCAGAGCUCUGUGUUUGUUGGC
rnacentral:lncRNA from 1 species